rnacentral:rRNA from 1 species
UACCUACGGGGCGCAGCAGUGGGGAAUAUUGCGCAAUGGGGGAAACCCUGACGCAGCAACGCCGCGUGCGGGAUGACGGCCUUCGGGUUGUAAACCGCUUUCAGCAGGGAAGAACAUCGACGGUACCUGCAGAAGAAGCCCCGGCUAACUACGUGCCAGCAGCCGCGGUAAUACGUAGGGGGCGAGCGUUAUCCGGAAUGAUUGGGCGUAAAGGGUGCGCAGGCGGCCUGCUAAGUCUGGAGUGAAAGGUAC